ACCCCGACCGAACAUGUGCCCACUACACAGUCCCCCCCCCCCCCGACCAACAUGCCCCUUCGACACUAGUUCACCAACCCCGACCAACAUCCUCAAUACUACCUAGUCCCCACCCCGACCAACAUGCCCUUUACACUAGUCCCACCCCGAACAUCAUGACCCAUCUACACUAGUCCCCCACCGACCAAGAUGCCC